rnacentral:rRNA from 1 species
CGCGUAGGCGGUUUCGUAAGUCCCGUGUGAAAGCCCCCGGCUCAACCGGGGAACUGCACGGGAAACUGCGAGGCUUGAGUUCGGGAGAGGGAAGCGGAAUUCCGGGUGUAGCGGUGAAAUGCGUAGAUAUCCGGAGGAACACCAGUGGCGAAGGCGGCUUCCUGGGCCGAUACUGACGCUGAGGCGCGAAAGCUAGGGGAGCAAACG